GGUCUCCGGGUGUUUACCACAGGAUGUGUUCUUAAACUCAAUGUAUAGAAAGAGGAGGCAGAGUAAACCUACCCCAUAUACACCUUAGCUCAGGCCCUGUGCCUUGUGUGUAUUGUGCAUGGGGAGACAUGG